rnacentral:rRNA from 1 species
AUUGAACGCUGGCGGCAUGCCUUACACAUGCAAGUCGAACGGCAGCGCGGGCUUCGGUCUGGUGGCGAGUGGCGAACGGGUGAGUAAUGUAUCGGAACGUACCUUUCAGUGGGGGAUAACGUAGCGAAAGUUACGCUAAUACCGCAUAUUCUGUGAGCAGGAAAGCAGGGGAUCGCAAGACCUUGCGCUGAUUGAGCGGCCGAUAUCAGAUUAGCUAGUUGGGGAGGUAAAGGCUCACCAAGGCGACGAUCUGUAGCGGGUCUGAGAGGAUGGUGCGGCACACUGGAACAGAGACACGGUCCAGACUCCUACGGGAGGCAGCAGUGGGGAAGUUGGGACGAUGCGGGCACCCAUGAUCUAGCCAUGUCGCGUGCGGGAAGAAGGCCUUCGGGUUGUAAAGCGCUUUCGGCUGCGAAGAGAUCGCAUACGUUAAUACCCUGUGUGGAUGACGGUACCGGAAUAAGAAGCACCGGCUAACUACGUGCCAGCCGCCGCCGUAA